rnacentral:rRNA from 1 species
CCUACGGGAGGCUGCAGUGAGGAAUAUUGGUCAAUGGACGCAAGUCUGAACCAGCCAUGCCGCGUGCAGGAAGACGGCUCUAUGAGUUGUAAACUGCUUUUAUACGAGGGUAAACGCAGAUACGCGUAUCUGUCUGAAAGUAUCGUAUGAAUAAGGAUCGGCUAACUCCGUGCCAGCAGCCGCGGUACUACGGAGGAUUCAAGCGUUAUCCGGAUUUAUUGGGUUUAAAGGGUGCGUAGGCGGUCGUAUAAGCUAGCGGUGAAAGCAUGAGGCUCAACCUCGGAAUUGCCGCUGAUACUGGUUGGCUAGAGAGUAGUUGCGGUAGGCGGAAUGCAUGGUGUAGCGGUGAAAUGCAUAGAGAUCAUACAGAACACCGAUUGCGAAGGCAGCUUACCAAACUACGACUGACGUUGAGGCACGAAAGCGUGGGGAGCAAACAGGAUUAGAUACCCCUGUAGUC